CCUACGGGAGGCAGCAGUGGGGAAUAUUGGGCAAUGGGCGCAAGCCUGACCCAGCAACGCCGCGUGAAGGAAGAAGGCUUUCGGGUUGUAAACUUCUUUUAAGAGGGAAGAGCAGAAGACGGUACCUCUUGAAUAAGCCACGGCUAACUACGUGCCAGCAGCCGCGGUAAUACGGAGGUGGCAAGCGUUGUCCGGAUUUACUGGGUGUAAAGGGCGUGUAGCCGGGCUGACAAGUCAGAUGUGAAAUUCCCGGGCUCAACCCCCGACCUGCAGUUGAAACUGUUGGUCUUGAGUAUCGGAGAGGCAGGCGGAAUGCGUAGUGUAGCGGUGAAAUGCGUAGAUAUUAGGAGGAACACCAGUGGCGAAGGCGGCCUGCUGGACGCCAACUGACGGUGAGGCGCGAAAGCGUGGGGAGCAAACAGGAUUAGAUACCCGUGUAGUC
rnacentral:rRNA from 1 species